UGACCUACACUACAGUUCACGGCAAUGUGGUAUCCUUAACCCACUGAGCAAGGUCAGGGAUGGAAUCCGCGUCCUCAUGGAUACCAGUAGGGUUCAUUAACCACUGAGCCAUGACAGGAACUCCUUUCUGUCUUUCUAAAUGAAAUAAUUACUAUGGCUGAUUUCAGUUUUAUAUUUAAAAGGAGUUUUUACUCCCUACAAUUUCUCUUCCAUCUCCUCAAGUUAGUUUCUAUAGUACUGGUCUCUUUAUGCUGGUUGUCAUAGAACAAUUUUAUUUGUCAUUUGUCUGGAUCUGAAUUUGCUAAAGUUCUUGGACACUUGCGAUCUCUUCUGCUGUUAUACAUGAAAAUUUUCCUAAGAAAGAAAGCAAGGGUUAUAUUUUCUUGGUCUCAGGAUUUGGAGACAUCAUUUACUGGUUUGAAAGCACUGCCUUCUGGUAUAAAAGGCUGUUCCGUUCUGUCUGGACACCAAUUAGUGAUGCUAAACCCCCAAGGCGUGUGGUGUCUAUUGUUCUCUAUCAAUUUUCCCUGCUUAUGA
ensembl:lncRNA